CUUGAUGAUCCGGAGAAAGGAACUAUAAUUGAGAAACUCACAGAAGAAACUCUGAGGGAUUGGAAUCAUCUCAAGGAACUCCUAUCCAUAUGUGAAGCUCAAAGACAAAUUGGAG